rnacentral:rRNA from 1 species
GAUGAACGCUGACAGAAUGCUUAACACAUGCAAGUCAACUUGAAUUUGGGUUUUUAACUUAGAUUUGGGUGGCGGACGGGUGAGUAACGCGUAAAGAACUUGCCUCACAGCUAGGGACAACAUUUAGAAAUGAAUGCUAAUACCUGAUAUUAUGAUUUUAAGGCAUCUUAGAAUUAUGAAAGCUAUAAGCACUGUGAGAGAGCUUUGCGUCCCAUUAGCUAGUUGGAGAGGUAACAGCUCACCAAGGCGAUGAUGGGUAGCCGGCCUGAGAGGGUGAACGGCCACAAGGGGACUGAGACACGGCCCUUACUCCUACGGGAGGCAGCAGUGGGGAAUAUUGGACAAUGGACCGAGAGUCUGAUCCAGCAAUUCUGUGUGCACGAUGAAGUUUUUCGGAAUGUAAAGUGCUUUCAGUUGGGAAGAAAUAAAUGACGGUACCAACAGAAGAAGUGACGGCUAAAUACGUGCCAGCAGCCGCGGUAAUACGUAUGUCACGAGCGUUAUCCGGAUUUAUUGGGCGUAAAGCGCGUCUAGGUGGUUAUGUAAGUCUGAUGUGAAAAUGCAGGGCUCAACUCUGUAUUGCGUUGGAAACUGUAUAACUAGAGUACUGGAGAGGUAAGCGGAACUACAAGUGUAGAGGUGAAAUUCGUAGAUAUUUGUAGGAAUGCCGAUGGGGAAGCCAGCUUACUGGACAGAUACUGACGCUAAAGCGCGAAAGCGUGGGUAGCAAACAGA